CAAAUUUCAAGAAGACGAUUCUCUGCAUACGCGCUGGCAACCAUUGGAUGAGUAUAGCAUUUAAUAUUUGAGUAGUCUUUAUCUUGAAAAUGACAUGAAUGAUGACUUCAUAAAAUUGUGAGACAUUGUCAAGUCAUUUUCAUUGUGUUCAGAAGCUUUAAAUUAAUUCAACACCAACGUAGUACCACAAGUUCACUACUCCUAAUAACAGUGUCCUACUCAGCAGCGUGACGCAUCAAAUUCAAGUCUUACCUCAUUAUAUAUACCAAUGCUUCCCUCUACUACCACCAUUAAUUCCUCUUCUACCAAUGUUAAUUUUGUCUUUAUCUGUAUUGUAUACUUCCAAGACUGAAGCUGUGUUUGCAGACUUUGAUGAGCCAAGUUGAUGAACCUCUUGAAUCUCUAUCACAAUUUGAGAGGCAGACUUGGGCAUGGGUGGAAUUGGAAAAACAGAGAGAAUGAGGGAUUGCUAGCUAUGACAUGGGUUGAUAGCCGAAGAGUUGUCCAAAUAUCAGCUAUGUUUAUGAUAUUUUUUUCUAUUUUUGGAAAAUUUAUAAAUGGCUUCAAAGAGACCUCGACUUGCUUCAGUUUUGUAAUUUGAAUAACUUUUCAGAAGAUGGGUCUUGUGCGUAUCAAAACAACAUAGUUUAAUGAUGUGAUCAAUGUUCCGUUUUCAUCUGAAGUGUUUGUUGCUGGUCUAAUGACUAUAGUUUUGGAUUCGGUUUCAUUUAAAAGGAGUGAUCGCCAGAUUCAUAGAAAUCGAGGAAUAUACUGGUGGGAAAAAUUCACCUCUAUGAGAUUAGAUAGUAGGAGUAUUGAGUAUUAUUAUCUAUCCUUUUAUGAUUAUUGAUGAUUAUAAUAUUUAGUUUUGCUUGAUAUGAGUAUAUGAAUGCAUGUUACAAUUAUUGCUAACUGUAAUCAUUUCUCAUAUAUGUAUAUAUGUUUAUAUAUUCAUUAAAUCUUUUUUGUGUUUAUAUUAGUUUAUUCUUCUACUUUCUACCCCCAAC